rnacentral:rRNA from 1 species
UACAGAGGUCCCAAGCGUUGUUCGGAUUCACUGGGCGUAAAGGGUGCGUAGGUGGUUAGGUAAGUCUGAUGUGAAAUCUCUGGGCUCAACCCAGAAACUGCAUUGGAUACUAUCUAGCUAGAGGAGUGGAGGGGGGACUGGAAUACUUGGUGUAGCAGUGAAAUGCGUAGAUAUCAAGUGGAACACCAGUGGCGAAGGCGAGUCCCUGGACACUUCCUGACACUGAGGAGCGAAAGCCAGGGGAGCAAACGGG